ensembl:snRNA
UAUAUAUGUGAAAGAAGUAAAGGCUAGCAGCCCUCUUAAUAAGGAUGGAAAUGGUCCUAGAAAUCUUUAAAAUUUUUAUAUGUUAAGGCUUUGCUACCUAAUCUAUGUCAUCUAACCAUUCUAU